rnacentral:rRNA from 1 species
UACGUAGGGGGCUAGCGUUGUCCGGAAUCAUUGGGCGUAAAGAGCGUGUAGGCGGCCUGAUAAGUCGGCUGUGAAAGUCAAGGGCUCAACCCUUGAAUGCCGGCCGAUACUGUCAGGCUAGAGUCCGGAAGAGGCGAGUGGAAUUCCCGGUGUAGCGGUGAAAUGCGCAGAUAUCAGGAGGAACACCGGUGGCGAAGGCGGGUCUCUGGGCCGAUACUGACGCUGAGAAGCGAAAGCGUGGGGAGCGAACAGG